UAUAUGCGAAUUAGAUUGAAUAAAACAUACUUGGUUUUAUUCCUCUUUCCUUAACUUUCAAGUAUGUCAAUUCCGAAAAGUUAUGGAACUCAAGUGUAAAGUAGAUAUAGUCGAGAGAGUUUAUUUUCUCUUUAAAUUAAUGAUAAAUUCUUCUCUAUGAUCUCUACACCCAAUUCGAUAGUUUGUUUGCAAGCUAAGGCACUACCAAUUCUGAUCUUUCGAAAUGGAACUUGAGGGAGCAGAGCUUACUACUAGUGGAACAAAAGAAAGGAAACAGGGAAAUCAACAAAAUGAUUCAUCUUUUCUUUUCUUUAUAGUUGUA
rnacentral:misc_RNA from 1 species